UAAUUAACCUGCUGCUUUCUUGUUGUUUCAGGAGUUCUGGUUAUGGCGAUCGUGGCAGCUCUUACAGAGAUGGUUAUGAUAGUUAUGCUGUACACGAGUAAAGCCCAAGACCCGACGCGUCAGCGGCCGAGCGUUUCUAAAGACUCAUGGAUCUGUUCUUGGAUUUGUUGUAGCUGUUCUCCCUGUUUCUGUUCUGUUCUUGUAUUCUGAGGGAAAGGCCGCUUUCUGUUCACCGGCUGUGAAUGAAUGAAUGUCUGUCGAUGGGUUCCUCUUCUGCCUCGUUUGAAUCCUUAAACUCAUCAUCCCGAGCCUCACUGUCAUGUUAGCGCUCACCUGUGCUUCUAUGGGGAGUCCAGAGAGCGUUGGCUCUCCUCUGUUUAUGUUACUGAUGCGCAGCCGCUGUCAUUACGAGCACGGCUCCUUCUGUUAGCUGUAAGCCAUUGAUUUGUCCAUGUCCCGUAUCCAAAACGUCACUUCCUUUCAGGCUGGUGAGCUGCGCAUUGGACGGCUGGCACUGGCGCUGCGGUUCUUGAGCCUUGCUGAGGUAUCUGUCUGUCUGUCGCUGCUCCUCGCAUCCUGCAUUUUAACCAUGGACUCUUGACUAAUCUAUCUAUCAAUCAUUUACUUGAAAGAGAACCAGAAAUUGUUAACAGUACACUCCAGAACUGGGAAAGAAAUCCUUGUGCUCUUGUUUCCUUUGUAUGAAAAUUUGACUCACUAUUUUGUUUUAUUUUUAUUUUUUUGCUUUUCAAUUGUGGCUUCAUGGAGCCUAUUAAACGAAA